AGGCUAUUUUUAAGCGUGAAUAUGAAAUUUAUCACAUGACAGUUGGUUUGCUGAAGUUCAAAAGGAAGAGAACUGACCAGGCCCCAAAUGCAAACCUAUAGAUGUUGCUCUUUUUUCUUCCAUACAUAGGGAUGUGUUACUGCUGUUGUCACUGACUAGAGUCAAGUUCUCAAGUAGGGAUCUUUUCAGCUACUUUAGGGAAUGGUGGAGCAUUGAAGAUGCUUUACCUGAAGCCUAAUUGUCCAAGUUCUUAUGUGAGUUCUACAUUUAGAAUAAGUAAAACACUAACAAUCUAUUCUAAACUGCCUAAGAGGUCAACUGUGUAUGUACCUGCAUCUUUAAGUUUUACACCUAAGACUUUUAAGCAAGAGAAUAUAAUCAUGCAUAUAGGAAUGAGGACGAAAGGAAUAUCUGCAUAUAUCAUGAAAGUUAAGUUAUUUCUCCAUGGCUCCACUAUUGUUUCCUCUGGUAGCUGAGAAGCAAGAAGACACUCAUGUCAAUGUUGACAACUCACCCUGGAGCUGAAAGGAUGCUUUCCAGGGAAUGUGAAGUGACCAAGGCAUGGAAGAUUUAAACUCUAACCCUGCCUUCUGAAGUAAAGAGCCUACAAAAAAUGAGGAAGCAUUUAUAAAUCUUCUUUGUCUCCUUUCUUUAUGUAAGUAGAGCAUAAAUACCUAAUGGGACUCACAGGAGAA
rnacentral:lncRNA from 1 species